UAUAAAAAAAAUUGUUGUUGUUUUUGAAAACAACAACAACAAUAACAAUAAUAAUAAUACAGACCUUUGGGCACUUAAAUAACUUAAAAACAACAUUAUAUGUAGGAGAAAACAUAAGAUACAUACAAACAUAAGAUUAUGUUCCAAUUAAAAGGUCUUCAUUACUUGUAUAGACAAAUCUUUGAUGCCUCCAUUAUUCGAUUUCAAAGUCCCAUUAAUAACUGGCAUGCGAGCUGCGCAUAAGGCUUUUCCAUGUGGCAUGAUACAUGGAAAAGCAUACAUGGAAAUGUACAUGGAUACAUGGUACAUUUCAAUUAACAUAUUUCAUGUCAUAUUAUUACCAUCCUCUACAUAUCCUCCACUACACAAAACUCCCACCAGUCACUUCAUUUUUCAUACCUAAUACCCCAUUGAACACCAAGAAUUAUUUUUACUUAUGCAAGGAAUGCACUGGCAAAUAUGUUAUAGACAAUUAACAACCAAUACUAGACACGCUACCUUUCCCAUUAUCACUCAUCAGAGGGACACUGUAAAUCAAAAUUGUACAAAAAUCUCUGACAACCCAAUAAAAGAAUUUGGUUAAAAAGAAAAGCAGUUUAUACAAUAUCCAAACGUGGCAGAUUUGAAACAUUGUCAUUACAGAAUCAAUUAUCCAUGUAGACGCAUAAUAAUGACAUCACCUUUGCAUUAAAAUGGUGUCAAUUCCCCCAGUUAUCACAGUCUUGCUCUUUAAGAGUCCACAUGAUUGUCCAGGAGCCACGACUCCACCCCAAGACAUAAGAUAUAAGAAAACAAUACAUCAACAAAAAUAAACUUCCAAAUUAACUUCAGCAGUAAUGAUCAUAACUUUAAAGAACAUUCAUGAUGGGUUCAACAAAUAUGAGGCAUUAUCAAAAUUUUCAACCCAAAAAAUAUUGGUAUUUUAGCUCACUCAACCAGUACUCAGGUUCAGCCGUUCUCUUGGCAAAUCUGCUCUUCCUGCUUCCAGUUUCUGAAAGACAGGUCUUAUGGGAAUAUUCAUCAAACAGGAUUGAGUUUUGUUUAGGUUAUAUAAAUUUAUUGACCAGGGUUUUCAUGCAAAA